UACGUAGGGCGCAAGCGUUAUCCGGAAUUAUUGGGCGUAAAGAGCUCGUAGGCGGUUUGUCGCGUCUGCCGUGAAAGUCCGGGGCUCAACUCCGGAUCUGCGGUGGGUACGGGCAGACUAGAGUGCAGUAGGGGAGACUGGAAUUCCUGGUGUAGCGGUGGAAUGCGCAGAUAUCAGGAGGAACACCAGUGGCGAAGGCGGUUCUCUGGGCCUUACCUGACGCUGAGGAGCGAAAGCGUGGGGAGCAAACAGG
rnacentral:rRNA from 1 species